rnacentral:rRNA from 1 species
UGGGGAAUAUUGGACAAUGGGGGGAACCCUGAUCCAGCCAUGCCGCGUGUGUGAAGAAGGCCUUAUGGUUGUAAAGCACUUUAAGCGAGGAGGAGGGUACUGGUAUUAAUACUACCAGGUACUGGACGUUACUCGCAGAAUAAGCACCGGCUAACUCUGUGCCAGCAGCCGCGGUAAUACAGAGGGUGCGAGCGUUAAUCGGAUUUACUGGGCGUAAAGCGUGCGUAGGCGGCUAAUUGAGUCGGAUGUGAAAUCCCCGAGCUUAACUUGGGAAUUGCAGUCGAUACUGGUUCGCUAGAGUGUGGGAGAGGAUGGUAGAAUUCCAGGUGUGGCGGUGAAAUGCGUAGAGAUCUGGAGGAAUACCGCUGGCGAAGGCAGCCCUCUGGCCUAACACUGACGCUGAGGUACGAAAGCAUGGGGAGCAAACAGG